rnacentral:tRNA from 1 species
AAGACUUUAAGUUAACCAAACUACUAGCCUUCAAAGUUGAAAAUAUUUAAUUUAAUAAGUCUUA